rfam:Zea mays cultivar B73 chromosome 1, whole genome shotgun sequence.
GGAUGCGAUCAUACCAGCACUAAAGCACCGGAUCCCAUCAGAACUCCGAAGUUAAGCGUGCUUGGGCGAGAGUAGUACUAGGAUGGGUGACCUCCUGGGAAGUCCUCGUGUUGUAUUCC